CCACAUGUGAAUAUAUAUACACAUAUGUUAUUGUGCCUUUUCAAUUACCACACCUUUUCAUUUGUACUCUUUCAGGUACAAACUAUAAUCAAACUAUAAUUUAUAUGUGAUUAAUAUAUGUGUUAUAUGUUAUAUGUGAUUCAAACACAACUAUAACACAUAUACACAAAUGAUUGUAUAUAACCACUAUAGAAUAAUCAUUUAUAAUUAAACAAGGCAAGGGAGGAAGGUUAUCAAUAAACCCAUAUUCUAAUUCUUUUAUCGAAACCAAUCCAUCACGGCAUCAUCUUUUAUAUUAGAAUUUAAAACAUUAAUACGAACUUAAACUUUAUAUUAAACCAAUAGACACAUAGGUCAUAUAGAAUAUAUAAUAUAUUAUUACAAUUGCUUUACGUAAAGUUAGUUCUGUUCGUAAUUCCGUGUCAUUUUGCGUCAUUUGCAUGUAGUUACAGCAUCUCCAACCCACCCUUAUAUUUACUUCUAUAUGCUAUAAUAGAGGAAAAUCUACUCCAACCCACCUCUAUUUCUUCUCCUAUAAUAGUGAUUGCUAUUUUUUCCUCUAUAUUUAGGGGAAAAAAUAGCAUUCCUCUAUAAUAGAGAUGUACUUUUUUAUUUACAAAAUAGUCCUUUAACUUUUGUGAUUAUAACUAAAAUACAUGUUUAUGAAGAAAUACAAUUUUAACAUAUAAAUGCACAUAUUUUUGUUUACAUACUAAUUUUUAAUUUUUAUAAUUAUAAAUAAAAUAAAUAAAAAUAUAUCUAAUUAUUUUAUGUUUACACACUAAUUAUUUUAUUUUAAAGUCAGACUUUUUAUUUAAUGAAUGAUAUCUAAAAUUUUAUAUUGAUAAUUAAAACUAUUAAUUAAAAUUUAAUUAUUAAAAGUUUAACAUAAUUUUACAUAUUGAUAACAUAUUAAAAUUAAACUUAAAUAUUGAAACAACUUAAUACUUAAAUAUUAAUCAAUACAACAUGUUGAAACAACUUAAUACUCCGGUAAAUUACUUCCGGAUCCACAAAAAAUGUUAAAAUAUUGUCCAAACGACGUGGGUGGAGAAGGAGUUUGCUGAUUUUGUUGCUAGUGACUGCGCUUUUGUAAAAUAUGUGCUUUCUUUACUUGGAAAUGUUCACGGACAUUUGGAUCUUCUAUGGAAUUUACAUCACAAAAUAAUUUUUUUUUUCCUUCAUCUGUUUUAAAGCAAAAUUUUAUCUUUGAAUCUCCAACUGAUGUUUGUCUUUGUUCACUUGACUUCUUUAGGUUCUCUAAGAAUUUUUUAUUUCCUUCUUCUAGUGUAUUGGAAGAGGAGCUCCACCACCAGAAGUCCAAAUACCAAAUGAUGAAAAUAAUCGGUUCCAGGAGUUUCUAAGUUGAUUCAGAAAAAUCAAAGAUAAAGAAGCUCAUUUCUCACUUCGGAAUGCAUUAAUUGACCAUUUAUGGGAAAAAAUAUAGUAAUGAGAUGUUUAGAUAAUGUCUAUUUUGUUUUAUUAUUAUUUUCUAAUGUCAUUUGUAAUAAAAUGUUUAAUUUAAAUAAUAUUGCAAUUUUAUGAAAAAAAAUUAAAAGUUAUAAUAAAUGGGUUAAUUUGCAACAUUUAUAAGUUAAAUGUGUUAUUUAUAAAAUAAAAAAAAAUAAUCUUUUAAGAAUAUUCUUUUAUAGAGAAAAAAAUAGAGAAAUACAUUGGAGAGAAACUCACCUCUAUUAUAGAGGAAAAAAUAGAGGAAUAAAUUGGAGAUGGUCUUAGCCUGGUUUUAUUUGUGAUGAUCAGUUGGUUUGUCACUACUCAUGAGUUUUCUUCCAACUGGUUAUUUUGUGGAGUUAUUUCCAUGGAAUUUGGGACUGUUUUUUUUUUUCAUUUUCGUGGAGUUAUUUAUUUUUCUUCAAACAGAAUAUUGAAAAAAAGAAUGUACGAGUGAAGAAAUGUCUUUUGAAGAGAAAAUUCAUACACAAGUAGGGGAAAUAUAAUGCAAUAAAUAUAUCAAAUAAACUCAUACUUUAUUAUUUAUUUUUAGAAUAUUGAGACAAUACUUUAUUAUUCUCUUUUUUAUAUUAUAUUCUCAAAUUUGAAAAAGGACUUAGCGCACAAGGCACCAAAAAACACAGCUUCAAAAUGGUAAGGAAACAAAACCAAAUUAUUUAAGAACGUGCCAACAUCCAAACAAAACUUUGCUUGGUCGGUUCAUUAUUUCUCACUAAGCUGACGACAUCAGAUUUAACAAUAUAUGCGCGUAUCUGAUUACAUCGUUUCCUGGAGGCUCCUCUGUAUGCUCUCCAUAUGUCAAUAAAAUGAUUGCCAUCCCUUAGAUAACAGUGCCAUACUAUCCUAUCGCCACUGCCUCUCUCCCUAACCGGGAAGUUGAAUUUACCUUUGGAUUUUAUUUCUUGAACACUUAUAGUUUCCUUUUUGUUCGAUGUGCAGUUGACUUUGACACUACGAGGAGGUUCAAGUUGGUUUUGAAAUUCCACCAGAUUGCAUCCGGAAGUUCUUUUCGAACUAAAACACAUAACAGUUAUUAACAUAAAAGUAAUGAGAUUAUUCAUCUUUUUUUGUUUUGAAGAUGCUAGAGACCCAAAGCGUAUUUUUUAUAGUUUCUUUUUGUGAUAAAUAAGGUAAGAAGCUAAAUAUAGACACAAAUAUUACUCGAUUAAAGUUAUGGUUGGAGGAGCAUUCGCAGCCGAAAAGUAAGGUAAAACCGUAAGGUAAGAUCAAAUAAAUUUAAAUUGCAAAUUAACGUUGACCACUAUAACUAAAGAAACACGAGUCUGAAAGUAGGUUCUACAUUUUAUCCAUAAAAUUUGUUUUGAUCUGUUAUUCGUUCUGAUUCGAAAAAUUUGGAUAUCCAAAUUUCUUCGGAGCAAAGCAAAUAUUAAAAAUAAAUAUCUAUUAAAACGAAAAAAAUCACAAAUAUUAAAAGUUUAGGAUGCGGAUACCCGCUCCUCUCCGGCUUAUAAACAAAUAGAUAUAUAUAUAUAUAUAUAUAAUCAAAUACAUAGUUUUAAAUGUAUAGUUUUGUAUAAUUAUUAUUUUAACAUAAAUUUUAUUCACAAAAUUACUUAUAAAUUUAUGAAAUUAAGAAAACAAUAUAAAAUCAUUAUAAAACCUACAAUUUUUCUUAAAUUUUGUGACAAGUAAUAAAAUCUAAAUAUUUACAGAACAUAUUCUUUCACUACUUUUUACUUAUUAUUUUAUAUUAUAUAAGAAUAUGUUUGAAAACAAGUUUAUAUGGUUUUAUAGAUUUACUUGUAUUAAACAAAGUGGAAGAGAUAUCCGCAAAUUUAUAUGUUUGAAAACAAAUUCUUAUUUUAUAUUAUAUAAGAAUUUUGUCUAUAAUUGUUUUUUGAUUUAUAUGUAUCUAAUGUAGCUGUAAGAAUUAAAUGAAAAAAAAAACUUUGCUGACAAAAAAUUAUAUUGUUGUCUAUAGCUUACAAAAUUGUGUUUUACCAAACAAGUCUAUUACAUCCAUUUUUUUCUUUUUGACUUUAUUUUUAAAAACUAAAUUAAACAUGAUCGAUAAUUUUUAGAGAAAAUUGGAAAACAUGGUACAAUUAGAAUUUGGGUUUGUCUCCCUGAAACUUAAUCUAAGAUUUUUGUACCAUUAGAAUUUUAAUUAACGUUAAUACCAUUAUAUCCUUAAAUUAAUCUAAAUUAAAUUUAACUAGAAUAUUUAACAUUUAUUAAUUGUUUUUAAUACAAUUUUGUUAAGUUAAAAAAAGAUGAAUUAGAAAAGGUUGGAGUCGAAGCUUGGAGACGCAUAUAUCGACGGUUCGUGGUCACCAACUUGAAGCUUGACUCUCUGGUCUGAACUGUGUCUCCAAUCCGCCAUCAAGCUCACCUCCGUCGUCGUCCGUUCACCUCCGACAAGCAGCACCGAACCAAUAUCGUCGUCUUGCUCGGUCGAGCUCGCGGCCCGUGCUCACCAAUCUCAGCCACCGCGACCGUCUUAUUCGAUAAGCCGUCUUGUCGUCUUCAAUUCGCCACAAACCUCCCCGAAAGUUGCUCAGUCACCACGAAGUCUCCUUACACUAAGAUCGGAGCAUCUCAGUCGUCACCGGAUCUUCAAUCCCCAUUGUCACGGAGGAAGCUUGAGCAACAAUGACAAGACCUUUGGAUAAACCAAAACUUUCAAUUGUGCAUUUCAGACCUCCUCGCAAUUUCAGAAUGGUCCCUCUCUUGGUUGUUUUCAAAUCGGCCACAAAUUUUGUAAUUCGCAAAACAUGGAAUAGAAGAUAUUGUGCGAGAUUUAUGUUAGAUUUCAUGUAUAUUUAGGAAAUAUAUUAACCGAAAUAAGAAAGUUUACAUACUUUUGUGGUUUGGCUAUAAUA